UACAGAGGUCUCAAGCGUUGUUCGGAUUCAUUGGGCGUAAAGGGUGCGUAGGCGGCGCGGUAAGUCGGGUGUGAAAUCUUGGAGCUUAACUCCGAAACUGCAUUCGAUACUGCCGUGCUUGAGGACUGGAGAGGGGACUGGAAUUUACGGUGUAGCGGUGAAAUGCGUAGAUAUCGUAAGGAAGGCCAGUGGCGAAGGCGAGUCUCUGGACAGUUCCUGACGCUGAGGCACGAAGGCCAGGGGAGCAAACGGG
rnacentral:rRNA from 1 species